rnacentral:rRNA from 1 species
AGUGAACGCUGGCGGUAGGCCUAACACAUGCAAGUCGAACGGCAGCACAGUAAGAGCUUGCUCUUACGGGUGGCGAGUGGCGGACGGGUGAGGAAUACAUCGGAAUCUACUUUUUCGCGGGGGAUAACGUAGGGAAACUUACGCUAAUACCGCAUACGACCUACGGGUGAAAGCAGGGGAUCUUCGGACCUUGCGCGAUUGAAUGAGCCGAUGUCGGAUUAGCUAGUUGGCGGGGUAAAGGCCCACCAAGGCGACGAUCCGUAGCUGGUCUGAGAGGAUGAUCAGCCACACUGGAACUGAGACACGGUCCAGACUCCUACGGGAGGCAGCAGUGGGGAAUAUUGGACAAAGGGCGCAAGCCUGAUCCAGCCAUACCGCGUGGGUGAAGAAGGCCUUCGGGUUGUAAAGCCCUUUUGUUGGGAAAGAAAAGCAGCAGGUUAAUACCCCGCUGUUCUGACGGUACCCAAAGAAUAAGCACCGGCUAACUUCGUG